rnacentral:rRNA from 1 species
AACAGGAUUAGAUACCCUGGUAGUCCACGCCCUAAACGAUGUCUACUAGUUGUCGGGUCUUAAUUGACUUGGUAACGCAGCUAACGCGUGAAGUAGACCGCCUGGGGAGUACGGUCGCAAGAUUAAAACUCAAAGGAAUUGACGGGGACCCGCACAAGCGGUGGAUGAUGUGGAUUAAUUCGAUGCAACGCGAAAAACCUUACCUACCCUUGACAUGGCUGGAAUCCUUGAGAGAUCAGGGAGUGCUCGAAAGAGAACCAGUACACAGGUGCUGCAUGGCUGUCGUCAGCUCGUGUCGUGAGAUGUUGGGUUAAGUCCCGCAACGAGCGCAACCCUUGUCAUUAGUUGCUACGAAAGGGCACUCUAAUAAGACUGCCGGUGACAAACCGGAGGAAGGUGGGGAUGACGUCAAGUCCUCAUGGCCCUUAUGGGUAGGGCUUCACACGUCAUACAAUGGUACAUACAGAGCGCCGCCAACCCGCGAGGGGGAGCUAAUCGCAGAAAGUGUAUCGUAGUCCGGAUUGUAGUCUGCAACUCGACUGCAUGAAGUUGGAAUCGCUAGUAAUCGCGGAUCAGCAUGUCGCGGUGAAUACGUUCCCGGGUCUUGUACACACCGCCCGUCACACCAUGGGAGCGGGUUUUACCAGAAGUAGGUAGCUUAACCGCAAGGAGGGCGCUUACCACGGUAGGAUUCGUGACUGGGGUGAAGUCGUAACAAGGUAACC